UAGCUCAGUUGGUAGAGCAUGGUGUGUGCAACACCAGGGUUGUGGGUUGAAUUCCCAC
rnacentral:tRNA from 1 species